rnacentral:lncRNA from 1 species
CUCUGCUCUCUCACAUGGGCAUCUCUGUCCUCAGGAUGUCCAGAGUACAUAAAGCUUAUCUCAAUGGAGAGGGGCUCUUGGCCACAGACUUUCCCAAGGUCCCCUGAUACCCGCACAGCUUCAGGGUUGCCCACCUCAGCCCAGCCUGAUCUCCAACCCUGCACAUCAGAAGUGACUUGGGGUUGGAGUCAGCAGGCUGGUCACUGCUACUGCUGACAUGCCAGGCCUUGUGUGAAGCCCUCUGUCUCUGUGACCUCCUCAGUUGACCUAGGUGGGAGUGGGGAAUGCUGUGAGGACCCCACUUUCCCACAGGAGGGGGAGGCUCCACAAGGUGCCAUUUUGUCUCCCAAGGUGCAGAGGCAGCCAGGCAGUCUUAUUUUUAAUCAGGACGCUCAGCAGACCAUCAUGGGGAAAAACUCUCCAUUUCCUAGCAUUGUCUAUUCAAAGUCCUGAAAAGCAGGAAGGAUGGCAGUUUUUAAAAAACAGACCUAUAGAGUAAUCACUCCAGAGAUGCUGUUAGGCACUUCACAGAUAUUAACGAUACAGGUUCUAUUAUUAAACCUGUUUUGCGAAUAAGGAAGCUCAGGCAGGGAGGUAGGACGGAUGGCAUCAGCAGGGAUGUGGAGUCGGCUUGCACCCACACAGCUGAGCACAAGCAGAUGGUCUCUUGUAAACUCUGGGUCCAUUCAUUCUCCUCCAGAUCAAAACAGAUCAUGGGUAGUUAGG